rnacentral:rRNA from 1 species
CAUCCUCCAAGGCUAAAUACUCCUGACUGACCGAUAGUGAACCAGUACCGUGAGGGAAAGGCGAAAAGAACCCCGGCGAGGGGAGUGAAAAAGAACCUGAAACCGUGUACGUACAAGCAGUGGGAGCACAGGUUUACCUGUGUGACUGCGUACCUUUUGUAUAAUGGGUCAGCGACUUAUAUUCUGUAGCAAGGUUAACCGAAUAGGGGAGCCGGAGGGAAACCGAGUCUUAAUUGGGCGUUAAGUUGCAGGGUAUAGACCCGAAACCCGGUGAUCUAGCCAUGGGCAGGUUGAAGGUUGGGUAACACUAACUGGAGGACCGAACCGACUAAUGUUGAAAAAUUAGCGGAUGACCUGUGGCUGGGGGUGAAAGGCCAAUCAAACCGGGAGAUAGCUGGUUCUCCCCGAAAGCUAUUUAGGUAGCGCCUCGUGAAUUCAUCUCCGGGGGUAGAGCACUGUUUCGGCUAGGGGGCCAUCCCGGCUUACCAACCCGAUGCAAACUGCGAAUACCGGAGAAUGUUAUCACGGGAGACACACGGCGGGUGCUAACGUCCGUCGUGAAGAGGGAAACAACCCAGACCGCCAGCUAAGGUCCCAAAGUCAUGGUUAAGUGGGAAACGAUGUGGGAAGGCCCAGACAGCCAGGAUGUUGGCUUAGAAGCAGCCAUCAUUUAAAGAAAGCGUAAUAGCUCACUGGUCGAGUCGGCCUGCGCGGAAGAUGUAACGGGGCUAAACCAUGCACCGAAGCUGCGGCAGCGACGCUUAUGCGUUGUUGGGUAGGGGAGCGUUCUGUAAGCCUGUGAAGGUGGCCUGUGAGGGUUGCUGGAGGUAUCAGAAGUGCGAAUGCUGACAUAAGUAACGAUAAAGCGGGUGAAAAGCCCGCUCGCCGGAAGACCAAGGGUUCCUGUCCAACGUUAAUCGGGGCAGGGUGAGUCGACCCCUAAGGCGAGGCCGAAAGGCGUAGUCGAUGGGAAACGGGUUAAUAUUCCCGUACUUGGUGUUACUGCGAAGGGGGGACGGAGAAGGCUAUGUUGGCCGGGCGACGGUUGUCCCGGUUUAAGCGUGUAGGUGUGUGUUCCAGGUAAAUCCGGUUCACUUUAACACUGAGGCGUGAUGACGAGGCACUACGGUGCUGAAGUAACAAAUGCCCUGCUUCCAGGAAAAGCCUCUAAGCAUCAGGUAACAUCAAAUCGUACCCCAAACCGACACAGGUGGUCAGGUAGAGAAUACCAAGGCGCUUGAGAGAACUCGGGUGAAGGAACUAGGCAAAAUGGUGCCGUAACUUCGGGAGAAGGCACGCUGACACGUAGGUGAAGUGAUUUACUCACG